GGGAGUAGCUUUGUGUGGAGGGCUGCCUCUGCUAUCACCACAAAAUGACAGACCUUUCCAUUAACUGGUGCUGAACAGGCAGAAGAGCCAUCACUCAUUUGGCUGGGGGUGUCCUACAGGAGCAGAAUCUUCACGAGGCGCACAGAAGUCUGAUUCCUCAGCAGCCUGGCAACCGUGGAGAGGUGGGAAAGGAAAGACUAUUUCUGGUUUCAGCUGCUAGACUGGGAUAUGCAUUCUUACAUAAGCAAGGGUCAGAAUAAAAUCUUUCAAAAGAUUUCUUGGGAACUGAGAUAAGAGCAGAUUUGCGUCCCUUAUCAGUGGGUCUUUAGCUCCAUGGUGCACAUGCUACGAAAACUCUGUCAAGGUUGCAAGAUGGAACAGCGAUGUUUCUUGAUUCAUUUUGCUGAAGCCUCAUCAAGUCUGUCUCAAAGAACUCUUCCUUAGUUACAGUGAUGUUAUAUAUAAUAAAAUUUAUAUAUAUAUAACAUUGAUAAAUGGAAAUAAUUAAUGGCAGCUAGCAUUUAUUAAGUCUGUACUAAAUGCUAGGAGGACACUAUGCUAAGUAAGACUUCAGAUGCAUCAUCAGAUUUCAUCUUGGCAACACCCUUAUGGAGUAUGCGCUAUUAUCAUCAACAUCGCACAUCUUGAAUAACUAAGG